GAUGAACGCUGGCGGCGUGCCUAAUACAUGCAAGUCGAGCGAACAGAUGCGGAGCUUGCUCCUCUGACGUUAGCGGCGGACGGGUGUAUAACACGUGUAUCCCCUCCCUAUCAGACUGGGAUAACUUCGGGAAUCCGGCGCUAAUCCGGUAUAAUCUCUUGAACCGCAUGGGUCAAUAGUAAAAUUCGGCUUUUCGGUCACGUCUAGAUGGUUCUCCGCCGCAUUAGCUAGUUGUUGCGUUAACAGCUUACCAGGGCAACGAUGCGUAGCCGACCUGAGAGAGUGAUCGCCCACCCUGGAACGUAGCCAGCGACAAGACGCCUACGGGAGGCAGCAGAAGGGAAUCUUCCGCAGUGGUGGAAAGCCUGACGGAGCAACGCCGCGUGAGUGAUGAAGAUCUCGGGAUCGGAAAAAUCUGUUAUGAGGGAAGAACAAAUGUGUAAUUAAAUAUGCACGUCUUGACGGUACCUAAUCAGAAAGCCACGGCUAACUACGUG
rnacentral:rRNA from 1 species